rnacentral:rRNA from 1 species
UACCAGCACCCCGAGUGGUCGGGACGAUUAUUGGGCCUAAAGCAUCCGUAGCCGGCCUUACAAGUCCUCCGUUAAAUCCAGCUGCUUAACAGAUGGGCUGCGGAGGAUGCUAUAAGACUAGGAGGCAGGAGAGGCCAGCGGUACUCAGUGGGUAGGGGUAAAAUCCGUUGAUCCAUUGAAGACCACCAGUGGCGAAGGCGGCUUGCCAGAAUGCGCUCGACGGUGAGGGAUGAAAGCUGGGGGAGCAAACCGG